UACGGAGGAUCCGAGCGUUAUCCGGAAUUAUUGGGUUUAAAGGGUGCGUAGGCGGCCAUUUAAGUCAGCGGUGAAAUUUUGCAGCUUAACUGUAACAGUGCCGUUGAUACUGUUUGGCUAGGAUUUGGUUGUAGUGUGCGGAAUGUGUGGUAUAGCGGUGAAAUGCUUAGAGAUCACACAGAAUAUCGAUUGCGAAGGCAGCUCACAAAGCCAAGAUUGACGCUGAGGCACGAAAGUGUGGGGAUCAAACAGGA
rnacentral:rRNA from 1 species